rfam:Tropilaelaps mercedesae isolate Wuxi-XJTLT scaffold0000001884, whole genome shotgun sequence.
AUACUUACCUAACGCCGGGAACUACGUGAUCAGGAGGGCGGAGACCCCAGGAGGAAGCCCUUCCAUUGCACUUCGGAAAAUCUGAGACUUGCCACUCUUCUAAGCUGGGAAAGAUGGAGCAUGUGAUUUUUUGUAGAUUUUGCUAAUAUAUCAUACGAAUU